GCUGGCUAAGGUGAUUGUCUAAUGUUAGGACUGGCUGUAGCUCUGGUCAUUCACCAGGAUUCUUAAGCAGCUGCUGGCGUUCACCAUUUAAAACAGUGUCCCAGGAGGCAUUUCAUCAGGAGCAUUGUGAGAAAUGUCAACGGCAGCCUGGCUGAGCCCCCCUGUGCUGCUGGGAGUGUUGCUACUGCUCAUUAGAAGAGACAGGAUGAAACCUGGAGUGGGCUGUGACACUUGUUGAACCCCCAUAUAGCGCAUUUUAAGACAUUUUCAAAUGCUGUUGCUCAACUGAAAGGUGAAAGCGGAGGUGGCAAGAACUCACUUGCAGCAAUUACACCAUGACCCAGAGAAAGAAAGAGAGAGAGAGAAAGAAUUUGACAAGAGCCAACACGUUCUGCUUGUUGCCUUCCUCAAGAGACCGAAAGCCAAGAUGAACACAGCUUUUCGGAAAGAUUUUCUUAAACACAGUGCAAUUCACCUGGUGCAAGAAACAAGACUACUGAAUUACAAAAUUGUUCUCUAUGCUGUUGGCUGCUGUCACAUCAAAGCAAAAGGACUGAAGAAAAAAAUUAGAGUCUGAAGGAAAUUGCAUUUUGAAGUCUGGCAAAACUUCGUCAAAGUCUUAUAAAUUAUGAACAGGAAAGAAAAAGCUCACUUCGAAACACAGAGAGUGAUGAGAAGAAAAGUUGAACUAUAAUUUGCAAUGCAAUAAAGUCAGAUGCAGAAAAUUGGAUGACUCAUCAUUAAGAAAACCUGCCUAUCCCACUUCAGGAGGCUGAUAUAGGAAGGAAAUGUAUGCAUAUUAAAAACCUGUAUCAUUGAGACAUUAAUUACCUACUCUGGAUUGACGCUGGACUGACUGACUGACUACGACCCUGGACUAUCCCUUCUGUGGCUAUCGGUGGAACCUGUGGACGUCUGCACUUGGCUUUCGACCUUGGACCGGAUUGGGACCCAUGCUGACCGUCGUUACCCUGAUUGAUGUGCCUGGACCCGGAUUUCGCUCGUUGCACGGAGGAGUAAACAGCCUGAGUUACUCAUCUGUAGCUUUUGAGUAGCAGAGAGGAAUCUGCUGCCAGUUUUUGUGUUCAUUUUGACCUCUGUUUUCCAACUUUUGUUUGUUUAAAUUGUCAGGCUGAAGUAAGCACUUUUGCUUUAACCCGGAUUAAAUUCCUGUUUAAUCCGGUUGAUCCUUUGGAACCGUUUUAAUUCAAACGGAGCUGUUUCUGUUACUUUUCACACUAAAGACAAGUGUUUGCUUAGUCCUUUGCUUCCUACGGGCAUUUCUCAGUUCUGUAACUUUAAUAAACUGUGUUGUACUCUAUUGGGUGGCGUUCUGUCUAUGACAAUUUUAGCCUGAUGUCCUUAGGAAACUGUAGAUCCCCAAACUAUACAUUCUU